UCAGUCCUACGGGAGGCAGCAGUGGGGAAUAUUGGACAAUGGGGGAAACCCUGAUCCAGCGACGCCGCGUGAGUGAAGAAGUAUUUCGGUACGUAAAGCUCUAUCAGCAGGAAAGAAAAUGACGGUACCUGACUAAGAAGCCCCGGCUAACUACGUGCCAGCAGCCGCGGUAAUACGUAGGGGGCAAGCGUUAUCCGGAUUUACUGGGUGUAAAGGGAGCGUAGACGGUGCGUCAAGUCUGAAGUGAAAGCCCGGGGCUUAACCCCGGGACUGCUUUGGAAACUGGCGCGCUAGCGUGCUGGAGG
rnacentral:rRNA from 1 species